rnacentral:rRNA from 1 species
AACGAACGCUGGCGGCAUGCCUAACACAUGCAAGUCGAACGAAGCCUUCGGGCUUAGUGGCGCACGGGUGCGUAACGCGUGGGAAUCUGCCCUUAGGUACGGAAUAACUCAGGGAAACUUGUGCUAAUACCGUAUGAUGUCGCGAGACCAAAGAUUUAUCGCCUAGGGAUGAGCCCGCGUUGGAUUAGCUAGUUGGUGAGGUAAAGGCUCACCAAGGCGACGAUCCAUAGCUGGUCUGAGAGGAUGAUCAGCCACACUGGGACUGAGACACGGCCCAGACUCCUACGGGAGGCAGCAGUGGGGAAUAUUGGACAAUGGGCGAAAGCCUGAUCCAGCAACGCCGCGUGAGUGAAGAAGGCCUUCGGGUUGUAAAGCUCUUUUACCCGGGAAGAUAAUGACUGUACCGGGAGAAUAAGCCCCGGCAAACUUCGUGCCAGCAGCCGCCGUAA